UAUAGAUGGAUACGUGCUGUCUUCCUCCACUACCAGAGAGGUAUGUAGUGUCAUGGUCUGUCUAUAGAUGGAUACGUGCUUCCUUCCUCCACUACCAGAGAGGUAUGUAGUGUCAUGGUCUGUCUAUAGAUGGAUACGUGCUGUCUUCCUCCACUACCAGAGAGGUAUGUAGUGUCAUGGUCUGUCUAUAGAUGGAUACGUGCUUCCUUCCUCCACUACCAGAGAGGUAUGUAGUGUCAUGGUCUGUCUAUAGAUGGAUACGUGCUGUCUUCCUCCACUACCAGAGAGGUAUGUAGUGUCAUGGUCUGUCUAUAGAUGGAUACGUGCUGCCUUCCUCCACUACCAGAGAGGUAUGUAGUGUCAUGGUCUGUCUAUAGAUGGAUACGUGCUGUCUUCCUCCACUACCAGAGAGGUAUGUAGUGUCAUGGUCUGUCUAUAGAUGGAUACGUGCUUCCUUCCUCCACUACCAGAGAGGUAUGUAGUGUCAUGGUCUGUCUAUAGAUGGAUACGUGCUUCCUUCCUCCACUACCAGAGAGGUAUGUAGUGUCAUGGUCUGGCUAUAGAUGGAUACGUGCUGUCUUCCUCCACUACCAGAGAGGUAUGUAGUG